UGGCAACGCGAUGUGAAAAACAGCUGUUCGCACCUCAUCUGGCUCAAACAAGAUAACCAAUUCCAACUGCGACAAUAACAACGUUGAACUUUUCACAAAAUCAAUCGAGGCCGAGUUGAUGCAGAAGCGUCGAUGCUUCGGUGGAGGUCCAUCAUCAAACACAUGACCCAUAUGGGCCGAGCACUUGGAGCAGCGCACCUCGGUGCGAACCAUCCCUAACGUUUUUGAAAUGACUACUGUUGUUUUAAUCAUAUUAUAUUAUGUUAGUUUUUGCAAUUGUUUUCAAUGUCAAUUUCAUAAUUUGAGAAAGUUUCGGUUUUGGUUAGCAAAAAAGAUGGUGGAUAAAAGAAUAUAAUACUCAAUUAGGUAAGAAUUAGUUAAUGCUAUUCAAAAUUUGGAUAUAGUUGCACAUUCAUCCAACAGGACAGAAUCACAAGUAACGGCACAAACAGUUUGACACUUAAGCAGCUCAACACUACAGUGAACACAUGGAUAUAACACACGCAUAUAUGUAUGUAGAUGUAUAUGAACAACAAUAAACGUAACAGAUUUUAAUUUUUGGGUUUUAACAUACAUUUCGAUUUCGGCGUCUCUAACUAUAUACACUUUUUUUCUAUAUAUGGCAUACUCUUUUGUAAAUAUUUUAUUUGUUGGGUGCUCAACUUGAACUCAAUUAAAAAUUGUUUGCAGUCAAAGUUUUUGUUGCGAAGCGACAAACAAAUCAAAUAAAAUAAAAACUGUACAAAAUAAAAAUCAAAUGCAAAACA